rnacentral:rRNA from 1 species
GACGAACGCUGGCGGCGUGCUUAACACAUGCAAGUCGAACGGAAAGGCCCUGCUUUUGUGGGGUGCUCGAGUGGCGAACGGGUGAGUAACACGUGAGUAACCUGCCCUUGACUUUGGGAUAACUUCAGGAAACUGGGGCUAAUACCGGAUAGGAGCUCCUGCUGCAUGGUGGGGGUUGGAAAGUUUCGGCGGUUGGGGAUGGACUCGCGGCUUAUCAGCUUGUUGGUGGGGUAGUGGCUUACCAAGGCUUUGACGGGUAGCCGGCCUGAGAGGGUGACCGGCCACAUUGGGAAUGAGAUACGGCCCAGACUCCUACGGGAGGAAGCAGUGGGGAAUAGUGCACAAUGGGCGGAAGCCUGAUGCAGCAACGCCGCGUGCGGGAUGACGGCCUUCGGGGUGUAAACCGCUUUCGCUUGUGACGAAGCGUGAGUGACGGUAAUGGGUAAAGAAGCACCGGCUAACUACG